rnacentral:rRNA from 1 species
UACGUAGGGUGCAAGCGUUGUCCGGAAUUAUUGGGCGUAAAGAGCUCGUAGGCGGUUAGUCGCGUCUGCUGUGAAAACUCGGGGCUUAACUCCGGGCCUGCAGUGGGUACGGGCUGACUAGAGUGCGGUAGGGGAGACUGGAAUUCCUGGUGUAGCGGUGAAAUGCGCAGAUAUCAGGAGGAACACCGAUGGCGAAGGUAGGUCUCUGGGCAUUAACUGACGCUGAGGAGCGAAAGCAUGGGGAGCGAACAGG